GACGAACGCUGGCGGCGUGCCUAAUACAUGCAAGUCGAACGCAGUUGCAAACGGGUGAGUAACGCGUAGGUAACUGCCUGGUAGCGGGGGGUAACUAUUGGAAACGAUAGCUAAUACCGCAUACUACCAGAUGGACCUGCGUUGGAUUAGCUAGUUGGUGGGGUAACGGCUCACCCAGGCAACGAUACCUAGCCGACCGGAGAGGGUGAUCGGCCACACUGGGGCUGGGACACGGCCCAGGAUCCUACGGGAGGCAGCAGUAGGGAAUCUUCGGCAAUGGACGGAAGUCUGACCGAGCACCGCCGCGUGAGUGAAGAAGGGUUUCGGGUCGUAAAGCUCUGUUGUAAGAGAAGCGGUAUCUUACCAGAAAGGGACGGCUAACUACGUGCCAGCAGCCGCGGUAAUAC
rnacentral:rRNA from 1 species